rnacentral:pre_miRNA from 14 species
CUUUUAGGACAUUCUGCUUGCCUUCCUUCUCUCCUCCUAUUGAAAGACCCCCAGAGCAGGGAGACCCUCACUCAAGUCUCAAGAUGAUGGGACCCCACAAGGAUUCACGAAAGA